UACGGAGGAUGCGAGCGUUAUCCGGAUUUAUUGGGUUUAAAGGGUGCGUAGGCGGACGGUCAAGUCAGCGGUAAAAAUGCGGUGCUCAACGCCGUACAGCCGUUGAAACUGGCAGUCUUGAGUGGGCGAGAAGUAAGCGGAAUGCGUGGUGUAGCGGUGAAAUGCAUAGAUAUCACGCAGAACGCCGAUUGCGAAGGCAGCUUACCGGCGCUCAACUGACGCUGAGGCACGAAAGUGCGGGUAUCGAACAGG
rnacentral:rRNA from 1 species